GUGGAGUAAAUGAUAGUGAUGGUGAAGAUAUAUAAGUGAUAAUAAAACUUACUUCUCAUUGCUCCUCAUAUUGCUAUUUCUCCUCCUCUUUGAUCUUUGCUUUGGGAGAACAUGGGCUAUCUUUUUAUCUCUUUUUUUUCAGGUGGGUAGUAGAUACCCCUAAUUCUACUGUCGGACACUUGUUCAUUUUUUUCGCUCAAGUGGGCAUCUUUGUACCCCUAAUUCUACUUCGGACACUUGUCCAUUUUUACCUCUCGUCUCACUCUUUUUCUUUCUUUUUCGAGGUUUCAGGCACUUGCCCCUUUUUAUUUCCUCGCAUAUUUCUGCAUAACCCAUGCCUCUUCUGCAUUGAAUCUUUUUAGAGAGAGAGAAUAACAAUAUUCGGGACAGUGAGUGAUAAUAUUUUUAGCAAUUUUAAUGAAUGGUGAUGGAUGGUGUAGUAGAUGUGUGCAAGUGAAUAUCUUAAUUUAACCACAUGAAAAGCUCCCAAGGAUCUACACAGCUCGAUCAAACUCAAUGUAAAUAUAGUAAAAGAUGUUAUAGCAAGUAUGGCUGUGGUAGGUAGUUGGUUAUGCAUGGAACUCAUCGUGUGAUUUGCAAGUUUGCAAAAUAAAUCUCCAGAACUUAGUGUAGUAGGAACAAGAUAAACAAUAGCUCAACUUUAUAUCAUGCCUUUCUCCUACCUAGACUUUAGUUUUAUGCUUCCCAAAGAUAGUAAUUUCAGUUUUAAUAAUUCCUGGAAGAACUCUAGU
rnacentral:lncRNA from 1 species